UGUAUUAAAGAAUUAAAUGGAUGAAAUAUGAAGUUUUAUUAAAAGAAAAAUGGGUGAAAAGAACAAAGUUUUGUCCAUCUUUGUUCAUCAUAGCUGAAAGUUAGAAAAGAGAAAGGAGAGGAGAAAGCUCUUGAGUAUUCGGUCAUUAGGAGGAGGAAAAUUGAAGGUGAGUCUUGAUGUGGGUGACUUGGAGCCAGAGGGGAUUCAGAGUGGCCAUUGUGAACACUUUUGGGUUUGAAAAAGAGACUGGUUUUCUUAAGUUAUUUUUAAUUACUAUUUAAGUUUUGGGUUGUAAUAAGGCCAUUUUAACUUUAUUUUCUUCUUUGAUUUUCUGAGAUUAUAUUAUUUUAAACAACUUUAAAUUGAUGGAUAAUAAUAA